GACGAACGCUGGCGGCGUGCUUAACACAUGCAAGUCGAACGCUGAAGCUCAGCUUUUGUUGGGUGGAUGAGUGGCGAACGGGUGAGUAACACGUGAGUAACCUGCCCCCUUCUUUGGGAUAACGCCCGGAAACGGGUGCUAAUACUGGAUAUUCACUGGUCUUCGCAUGGGGGUUUGUGGAAAGGGUUUUUCUGGUGGGGGAUGGGCUCGCGGCCUAUCAGCUUGUUGGUGGGGUGAUGGCCUACCAAGGCUUUGACGGGUAGCCGGCCUGAGAGGGUGACCGGUCACAUUGGGACUGAGAUACGGCCCAGACUCCUACGGGAGGCAGCAGUGGGGAAUAUUGCACAAUGGGCGCAAGCCUGAUGCAGCGACGCCGCGUGAGGGAUGGAGGCCUUCGGGUUGUGAACCUCUUUCGCUCAUGGUCAAGCCGCAACAAUGGUUGUGGUGAGGGUAGUGGGUAAAGAAGCGCCGGCUAACUACGUG
rnacentral:rRNA from 1 species